rnacentral:sRNA from 2 species
CAUGGUACCGAACGGAUUGCGGCAGUUUUUUCAUUAUCCGAUUUUCUUGCCAUUCUUCAACGCAAGACUUUAACGUAGCAACAAAUCUGUUUGAACCCAACGACACUAAACUUGUUCCUCCACGCAGAAUUCUGAAAAAGCGCCGAGGAAGCACCAGCAAAGAAAAGAACGACAUGAUAUCGAAACCUCACGCUCGAUGUAUUCUUAGCUCGAGUUUCAUACGAGGCCUGUGUGUCCUCUGUGCUAAUAUAGUAGAAGCUAGAACCUUGAAGAUAACGGCUUUAAUGGGUCUUGGAAGGCGGGCGGGCUUGGCCGUACCACCAC